AUUGAACGCUGGCGGCAGGCCUAACACAUGCAAGUCGAGCGGUAACAUUUCAAAAGCUUGCUUUUGAAGAUGACGAGCGGCGGACGGGUGAGUAAUGGCUGGGAACCUGCCCUAACGAGGGGGAUAACAGUUGGAAACGACUGCUAAUACCGCAUACGCCCUACGGGGGAAAGGAGGGGACCUUCGGGCCUUCCGCGAUUGGAUGAACCUAGGUGGGAUUAGCUAGUUGGUGAGGUAAUGGCUCACCAAGGCGACGAUCCCUAGCUGGUCUGAGAGGAUGAUCAGCCACACUGGAACUGAGACACGGUCCAGACUCCUACGGGGGAGGCAGCAGUGGGGAAUAUUGCACAAUGGGCGAAAGCCUGAUGCAGCCAUGCCGCGUGUGUGAAGAAGGCCUUCGGGUUGUAAAGCACUUUCAGCGAGGAGGAAAGGUUAAGUCUUAAUACGGCUUAGCUGUGACGUUACUCGCAGAAGAAGCACCGGCUAAC
rnacentral:rRNA from 1 species